CUCAUUUUGCUGAGUUUUGGCCUCUGAGUGUAAACUGCUAAUUCAUCAGGUAAGAAGGACUGCCUACUCUGGAGCCACUUUAUUAGUAGUAUCCAGCUCCCCUGUGGUGAAUAUGUUAACACUCUGCCCUUCCUGAAAGCAACUGGGACCAUGAGGAGAUAUAUUAACUUGACCGAACAAGUCAGGGAUAGACCCUUUGGUGACAAUAUCAGUCCUCUCAUGACUUGUGAGCACGAAUCUCCUUUGUACCGUCUGGCCUUUCCUGACACUUUGCGAGCAACACGGAAGUGUGUUGGAGCCAUAGCCAUGGAGCCGCCUAGGAAGCAGUGGGAAGGAGCAGAGGAAGCAGGUGGGGAAUUAACAGCUUUGUAGAGAAUCGAGUUGAUAUGUGAAACACACUGUGACUUCUGAUAGAGA
rnacentral:lncRNA from 1 species